ensembl:snRNA U6 U6 spliceosomal RNA
GUGCUUGCUUUGGCAGCAUAAGUACUAAAAUUGGAACAACACAGAGACGAUUAGCAUGGCCCCUGUGAAAGGAUGAUACACAAAUUCAUGAAGCAUUCCAUAUUGUU